AGAUUGAACGCUGGCGGCAUGCCUAACACAUGCAAGUCGAGCGGCAGCGCGGGGGCGAACCCUGGCGGCGAGCGGCGGACGGGUGAGUAAGGCAUCGGAAUCUGCCCUGAUGUGGGGGAGUAACGUAGGGAAACUUACGCUAAUACCGCAUACGACCGAAAGGUGAAAGCGGGGGACCGAAAGGCCUCACGCAGCAGGAUGAGCCGAUGUCCGAUUAGCUGGUUGGUGGGUAAAGGACCUACCAAGGCGACGAUCGGUAGGCUGGUCUGAGAGGAUGAUCAGCCACACUGGGACGUGAGACACGGCCCAGACUCCUACGGGAGGCAGC
rnacentral:rRNA from 1 species